rnacentral:rRNA from 1 species
ACUCCUACGGGAGGCAGCAGUGGGGAAUAUUGCACAAUGGGCGCAAGCCUGAUGCAGCCAUGCCGCGUGUGUGAAGAAGGCCUUCGGGUUGUAAAGCACUUUCAGCGGGGAGGAAGGCGAUAAGGUUAAUAACCUCAUCGAUUGACGUACC